CCUGUUGUGUGGGUCGUGUAUUUUCCUCACUCCUCUGGAAAGAUUAGUUGUGUGUGUCCAGGCAUUGUUAGGGAGUAUGUAAGUCUCAUGCGCAUGAAAGAAGUCGCCAGCUGCUGCUUUGUUGUGGCUUAUAUACUGGUUCCAGUUUUGGGAUGCCGGAUUGUUGCUUGGGCACUGUUGCUUUGAACGCCUUCAGUUCGC